GGUUUCCCUUUACGAAUUGUAGUUUAAAGAAGUGUUUUCUGUUGAGGUUUUGGUAAAAGUUCUUUGGAAUAGGACAUCAUAGAGGGUGAGAAUCCCGUAUUUGACCUUUACUUUCAACUUUGUGAUACACUUUCAAAGAGUCGGAUUGUUUGGGAAUGCAGUCCAAAAUGGGUGGUAAAUUUCAUCUAAAGCUAAAUAUUGGCGAGAGACCGAUAGCGAACAAGUACCGUGAGGGAAAGAUGAAAAGAACUUUGAAAAGAGAGUUAAACAGUACGUGAAAUUGUCAAAAGGGAAGCGUUUGACACCAGUGUUGUUUUUCUGAAAAUCAAUUAACGAACUGUUUAUGCUAAGUUGUUUAGACUUUAUCAGCUAACUGUUUAGUUUUGAGCUUUUCUUU
rnacentral:rRNA from 1 species